rnacentral:rRNA from 1 species
UACGUAGGGUGCAAGCGUUGUCCGGAAUUAUUGGGCGUAAAGAGCUCGUAGGCGGUCUGUCGCGUCUGCUGUGAAAACUCGAGGCUCAACCUCGAGACUCGGUGGAAACCGUUUGGCUAGAGUCCGGAAGAGGAGAGUGGAAUUCCCGGUGUAGCGGUGAAAUGCGUAGAUAUCUGGAGGAAUACCGGUGGCGAAGGCGGCAUCCUGGACCGACAUUGACGCUGAUGAGCGAAAGCUAGGGGAGCAAACGGG